rnacentral:tRNA from 1 species
GUCCCCAUCGUCUAGCUCGGCCCAGGACACCUGCCUUUCACGCAGGCGACAGGGGUUCAAAUCCCCUUGGGGACGCCA